GCUGAGUUUAAGCAUAUCAAUAA
rnacentral:rRNA from 1 species